UUAUCAGUUCUCAUAUAAAUGCAAGCGCUAGAAAGGACUUUCAAAAGCCUUUUCCGUAGCCAUGAAGUUCCUUUCUCUUUUUUUCAUUAUUGCGAUGGUGUUGGCCGCUGUUAGUGGACAACGACUGUGUCGACCUGGUCUGAGACCACGGGGUUGGAGGUGUUCCGCCAAUCAUCACUGCUGCUCCUUCAACUGCCGUCGGGGGAGAUGUUGGUAGAUGGACACGAAUCACGGAAAUUGAACCCGAAUUCGCGAUGGGAAAGAGGGUACCGAACCGAACGUUUAUUCACUCUUCUAAUAUUUAUUUGAGAAUGAUUUUGUAACAUUACAGUACUUUUACGGUGCAUAAAUUUGAUGUACCUAUCCUCAAAGGAUACUAGUGAUGAAUAUAUUGAGAGAAUGCAGCAAUAUUUUUAUGAUUUUUAUUUUUUUAUUGCACCUUAGUCUCUUUCCGCGACGCAUUCAUCUUCUCGGAGAGGAAAAUUCUUGAAAAAUAAGGUGCAGAUCCAUAAUCUGUCAGUCAAAAUAGUAUUUAGUAAAAAUUAUGGAACAGUUACGCAUUUAUUUACUGAACGUCCCAUUUUUUUUUUAACUUUUUGGACUUUUCAAUGAAAUUUCACCGAAAAAGUGUAUAACUCUUCCGUUAUUUUUAAUGAAUAUUAUGUUGACUGACAGAUUAUGGAACAGGCGCGUAAUUUUUCAAGAAUUUUUCUCCGUGGUAAAUUUUAUAAAUUUAUUUCCUAAUCGACAAUAACAUGGGAUACCACACGUGCUUGGAAAAAAUAUUGUUGUUAAGGAUCGCUUAUUUAAGCUCUUAUUUUUUAUUAAAUCCUAUUUUUCAAAUUUGUUAAAACUCAGUUGGGCCCGAUUUUUUUUAUCUUGGGAAUUUAUGAAGAAAAGAAUUUUUAUAAUUUUUUUUUAAGAAGUUGGUUUUUACUCACUACAAAAAAAUUGUGGCCUGAGAAUUUUGAUGGGCAGAGCUUGUUGCACUGGGGAACAAUAAUUAUUAAUACAUUUUGUACUUGUUCUAAAGGGGAGAACAAUUUCGAUUGAAUUUAUUUCUUUUUUAGACAGACCUUCCACCAAAUUAAAAUUCCUCAAGUUUGUUUUUCAUUUAGUAUUUUUGUUCGUACGAAAAUCAAAGAAAUCGGCGAAAAAUAGAAUAAGUUAUACAAAAAAAACUAUAUAUCAUAUAUACAUAACAAAUUAUACAUAACAGAAAAGUUACAUAUAUAAGUAAAAAAUUUAAUUUGAGUUUUUGUAUUAAAAAGAUUUAAUGUUCAAUACUUUGACAGAAUCGAGCAGAAACUAAUAGAAAUUUCAACAAAAAUCCAAAAACAAUUUAACAACAAUUCAACAAUUUUUAACGAUUAAAUUAGAUUUUUCUCCAAAAUUCCUGCAUUUGUUUACUCUUCGAUAAAAGAUGAGCUAAUGACUGGUCGCGCGUUGAACUAUUUCGAUAAGAAUAAUAAUUUAUCCAUUCAUUCAACAUAUUAACGUAGAUUCAUAUUAUUUUUCUCGUCUCAUUUGUACUUUAAUAACAAAAUUGUAUAUCAGAGACGUUCUUAUCUUCGCAAUUCAAUAUGUACAAACGUUUGUAUAGUAAUCGCGUCAUUCCAAAGAAACAAACUUCGUGAACAAUUGAGACUGCAUGUGUAUAAAAGAAAGUUCUUGGCUUGAUGCAUUUGUACUGGGGUAAAUCAGUCGCGUCUUUCAAUUUCUCUGCGUCAUGAAGUUUCUCUCCAUUUUUGUGGUCAUCGCAAUGGUGCUAACGGCUGCUAAUGCGCAGUGGAGAUGCCGAAGCCCCGGGAGCCAGUGCUCGUCCCAUUGGCAGUGCUGCAGACAACGUUGUCGCAGAUACAGAUGCGCUUAGUUGGAUACAUGCGGACAUAAGAUGUACUCAUCACUGCUUCAGGAGGCGAUAUCAGACAUGAUGUGACGUUGGUAUUGUAUUCAAUUGAUUGGAAGAUCAUCUGCUGAAGAACAUCGAUCCCAUCGGCAUAUCUCAAGAUUAUUUCAUUUGCAGUCUUUGUAAAUUCAAGAAUGGAUAUCAUUAAAUAUUAAUGCUGAUAA